AGCUUUGCGCAGUGGCAGUAUCGUAGCCAAUGAGGUUUAUCUGAGGCGCGAUUAUUGCUAAUUGAAAACUUAAAGAAGAAGAUCCUC
rnacentral:snRNA from 1 species